GACGAGGGAUCCUAGCGUUGCUCGGAAUUAUUGGGCGUAAAGCGGGUGUAGGUGGCUUGGUAAGUCGGGUGUGAAAGCCCAGGGCUCAACCCUGGAAGUGCAUUCGAUACUGCUAAGCUUGAGUGCGAGAGAGGUUAAUAGAAUACCUGGUGUAGUGGUGAAAUACGUAGAUAUCAGGUGGAACACCGGAGGCGAAGGCGGUUAACUGGCUCGACACUGACACUGAGACCCGAAAGUGCGGGGAUCAAACAGG
rnacentral:rRNA from 1 species